rnacentral:rRNA from 1 species
GAUGAACGCUGGCGGCGUGCCUAAUACAUGCAAGUCGAGCGAACACAUGAUGAGCUCGCUCUUCUGACGGUAGCGGCGGACGGAUGAGUAACACGUGGAUAACCUACCUAUAAGACUUGGAUAACUACGGGAAACAGGUGCCAAUACUGGAUCAUACAUCCAACCGCAUGGUUCAAUAGUGAAUGGGGCUUUUGCCGAUACUUAUAGAUGGAGUCGCGGCGCAUUAGCUAGUUGGUAAGGUAACGGCCUACCAAGGCAACGAUGCGUAGCCGACCUGAGAGGAUGAUCAGCCACACUGGAACUGAGACACGGUCCAGACUCCUACGGGAGGCAGCAGUGGGGAAUAUUCGACAAUGGGCGCAAGCCUGACCGAGCAAUACCGCGUGAGUGAAGAAGGCCUUCGGGUUGUAAAGCUCUUUUGUUGGGAAAGAAAAGCAGCAGGUUAAACCCUCGCUGUUCUGACGGUACCUAAAGAAUAAGCCCCGGCUAACUUCGUG